rnacentral:rRNA from 1 species
CAGCAGCCACGGUAAUACGAAGGGUGCAAGCGUUAAUCGGAAUUACUGGGCGUAAAGCGUGCGUAGGCGGUGAGUUAAGUCUGCUGUGAAAUCCCCGGGCUCAACCUGGGAAUGGCAGUGGAUACUGGCUCGCUAGAGUGUGUCGGAGGAUGGUGGAAUUCCCGGUGUAGCGGUGAAAUGCGUAGAGAUCGGGAGGAACAUCAGUGGCGAAGGCGGCCAUCUGGGACAACACUGACGCUGAGGCACGAAAGCGUGGGGAGCAAACAGGAUUAGAUACCCCGGUAGUCCCUGUCUCUUAUAC